GUAGGUGAACCUGCGGAAGGAUCAUUAAUAGAGCAAAAGACAGGCAGCGCCCCAUAGAAGCUUGCUUCGUGGUGGGCUACCCUACUCUGGUAGGGUUUAGAGCCGUCGAACCUCUCGAAGAAGUUCGGUCUUGAACUCCACCCUUGAAUAAAUUACCUUUGUUGCUUUGGCAGGCCGCUUCGGCUACCGGCUUCGGCUGGUAAGU
rnacentral:misc_RNA from 1 species